AUUUUUAAAUCAAUCACUUUGUCUCUGCACAAUGAACAUUAUCAAAUAUUAUUAAUGUUGUAAAAUAUAUUGUUCAUUGUUAGUUCAUAUUAGCUAAGGCAUUACCAAAUGUUAAGGAAUAAACUCUUAUAGUAAAGUGUUACUAAAUUUUCUUUUACCAUUUCCUUCACAAUGUCUACUUAUUUCUAUGGCUAACAGAUUUUGUAACAUUUGUCUUUUUUACAGUCUUACCAUUGCUUGUAAACUGGAUUGGGUAAGAUGGAUCAUCUUUAAAGGCACCAGGCAAGUACAUGAUGUACAGUUACAAGUCAUGUAUUUUUUCGACUGCAAUAUUAAAUGCUUUCACGUCACAUGUAAAAGUACACAGGAAUGUGCUGAUCACUUUUUAUUUGUAGUUUACAUGAGUGUCAUUGCACUUUUCAGGAGUUAAGGCAGAUGUGGAGGCACAAUGGGUGACACCAGACACACACCAAGCACAUUAUGUUCGGACAUUCAAUCAUGACAUGAUCCAUGUGGAUGCUGUCCAUUGAGGAAAGAGUUUGUUCCGAGGUUUCUGGAUAGAAUUAAUUCCAAAGAUGGGAAAAAAUGCACAUCCAGACAAGGAGCAAGCAAAAAGACAAGGAACUUGGUGCAGAGAAAAGCUGUGGCCAUUAACCCCCAUGUGAACAGCUUCAUGCAGUCCCUGAUUGAGUUCGAAUGGACGACUUCAAAGUAAAGGCCACUGUGGUCUGUCUGCCAGUUUAAUGCAUUUAUUUUUAGUGUUAAAUGAAAUUCAAGUAGAAUAUUUAAAACUAUGGGCCAGUGUUCUUUUUACCACAGUGAAAUGUUACCUUUUAGUCGAUGAUGGACUUUAAACUGAAAACUUCAAACUAUGGAACAGUGUUCUAUUUGCCAGAGUUAAAUAUGUUACAGCAGGGGUCUCCAAACUUGUUUAUACUUGUUGAUUUUAUUUUAUGUUACUUGAUUAUAUGUUUAUUAUUGUUUAAAAUCUUGUUUUAAAUGUUUUGUUUCAAUUAAAUGUUUUUUUAAAUAAAAUUUUGAUACAAACAUUGCUUGGAUUGCCUUUUAAUUCAUUAUGUCAUGUCAAGGAUAGCAUUUUUACCAUAUUAAUAACUAUAGAUUUAAACCUAAAUCUCUAUCUAUUUUAUAUAAUAUUAUUGUAUUAACUGUAAUAAGUAAUAAAUAGUAUUUAUGGGUCAAUAUAGACAUUACAGUAAAUUACUGUAAAAAUAGACUACUGUAAUAAAAUAUUGUAAAAUUACAGUACAGUACUGCUUUGUAACUAUACAGUACUAGUUUGUGUACUGUAAAAUGGUAUUACAGUACAGUACUGUAAACCCAAAAUACAGUAACUUACUGGCAACCGUGCUGCCAGUACCGUACUGUAA